UUCCGGUUGAUCCCGCCGGACCUGACUGCUAUCGGAUUGAUACUAAGCCAUGCGAGUCAUUGUAGCAAUACAAGGCAGACGGCUCAGUAACGCGUAGUCAACCUAACCUAUGGACGGGAAUAACCUCGGGAAACUGAGAAUAAUGCCCGAUAGAACACUAUACCUGGAAUGGUUUGUGUUCCAAAUGAUUUAUCGCCGUAGGAUGGGACUGCGGCCUAUCAGUUUGUUGGUGAGGUAAUGGCCCACCAAGACUAUUACAGGUACGGGCUCUGAGAGGAGUAGCCCGGAGAUGGGUACUGAGACACGGACCCAGGCCCUAUGGGGCGCAGCAGGCGAGAAAACUUUGCAAUGUGCGAAAGCACGACAAGGUUAAUCCGAGUGAUUUGUGCUAAACGAAUCUUUUGUUAGUCCUAGAACCACUAACGAAUAAGGGGUGGGCAAGUUCUGGUGUCAGCCGCCGCGGUAAAACCAGCACCUCAAGUGGUCAGGAUGAUUAUUGGGCCUAAAGCAUCCGUAGCCGGCUCUGUAAGUUUUCGGUUAAAUCUGUACGCUUAACGUACAGGCUGCCGGGAAUACUGCAGAGCUAGGGAGUGGGAGAGGUAGACGGUACUCGGUAGGA
rnacentral:rRNA from 1 species